rnacentral:rRNA from 1 species
UCCCAGACUCCUACGGGAGGCAGCAGUGAGGAAUAUUGGUCAAUGGCCGGAAGGCUGAACCAGCCAAGUCGCGUGAGGGAAUAAGGCCCUAUGGGUCGUAAACCUCUUUUGUCAGGGAGCAAAGGCGUCCACGUGUGGACGAGAGGAGAGUACCUGAAGAAAAAGCAUCGGCUAACUCCGUGCCAGCAGCCGCGGUAAUACGGAGGAUGCGAGCGUUAUCCGGAUUUAUUGGGUUUAAAGGGUGCGUAGGCGGAGUGUCAAGUCAGCGGUAAAAUUUCGGGGCUCAACCCCGUCGUGCCGUUGAAACUGACACCCUUGAGUGAGUGAGAAGUAAGCGGAAUGCGUGGUGUAGCGGUGAAAUGCAUAGAUAUCACGCAGAACUCCGAUUGCGAAGGCAGCUUACUAAACUAUAACUGACACUGAAGCACGAAAGCGUGGGGAUCAAACAGGAUUAGAUACCCUAGUA